CUCUUAUUAAGAGUGGUGGAGGGACGUGCCCUAUGAAGCCCGGCAACCGUCAAUGCAAAUUGAAAUGGUGCCAAUUCACUCAAAGCAGACGCUUUGAAAGAUAAGAG
rnacentral:ncRNA from 2 species